rnacentral:rRNA from 2 species
GACGAACGCUGGCGGCGUGCCUAAUACAUGCAAGUCGAACGAACUCUGGUAUUGAUUGGUGCUUGCAUCAUGAUUUACAUUUGAGUGAGUGGCGAACUGGUGAGUAACACGUGGGAAACCUGCCCAGAAGCGGGGGAUAACACCUGGAAACAGAUGCUAAUACCGCAUAACAACUUGGACCGCAUGGUCCGAGUUUGAAAGAUGGCUUCGGCUAUCACUUUUGGAUGGUCCCGCGGCGUAUUAGCUAGAUGGUGAGGUAACGGCUCACCAUGGCAAUGAUACGUAGCCGACCUGAGAGGGUAAUCGGCCACAUUGGGACUGAGACACGGCCCAAACUCCUACGGGAGGCAGCAGUAGGGAAUCUUCCACAAUGGACGAAAGUCUGAUGGAGCAACGCCGCGUGAGUGAAGAAGGGUUUCGGCUCGUAAAACUCUGUUGUUAAAGAAGAACAUAUCUGAGAGUAACUGUUCAGGUAUUGACGGUAUUUAACCAGAAAGCCACGGCUAACUACGUGCCAGCAGCCGCGGUAAUACGUAGGUGGCAAGCGUUGUCCGGAUUUAUUGGGCGUAAAGCGAGCGCAGGCGGUUUUUUAAGUCUGAUGUGAAAGCCUUCGGCUCAACCGAAGAAGUGCAUCGGAAACUGGGAAACUUGAGUGCAGAAGAGGACAGUGGAACUCCAUGUGUAGCGGUGAAAUGCGUAGAUAUAUGGAAGAACACCAGUGGCGAAGGCGGCUGUCUGGUCUGUAACUGACGCUGAGGCUCGAAAGUAUGGGUAGCAAACAGGAUUAGAUACCCUGGUAGUCCAUACCGUAAACGAUGAAUGCUAAGUGUUGGAGGGUUUCCGCCCUUCAGUGCUGCAGCUAACGCAUUAAGCAUUCCGCCUGGGGAGUACGGCCGCAAGGCUGAAACUCAAAGGAAUUGACGGGGGCCCGCACAAGCGGUGGAGCAUGUGGUUUAAUUCGAAGCUACGCGAAGAACCUUACCAGGUCUUGACAUACUAUGCAAAUCUAAGAGAUUAGACGUUCCCUUCGGGGACAUGGAUACAGGUGGUGCAUGGUUGUCGUCAGCUCGUGUCGUGAGAUGUUGGGUUAAGUCCCGCAACGAGCGCAACCCUUAUUAUCAGUUGCCAGCAUUAAGUUGGGCACUCUGGUGAGACUGCCGGUGACAAACCGGAGGAAGGUGGGGAUGACGUCAAAUCAUCAUGCCCCUUAUGACCUGGGCUACACACGUGCUACAAUGGAUGGUACAACGAGUUGCGAACUCGCGAGAGUAAGCUAAUCUCUUAAAGCCAUUCUCAGUUCGGAUUGUAGGCUGCAACUCGCCUACAUGGAGUCGGAAUCGCUAGUAAUCGCGGAUCAGCAUGCCGCGGUGAAUACGUUCCCGGGCCUUGUACACACCGCCCGUCACACCAUGAGAGUUUGUAACACCCAAAGUCGGUGGGGUAACCUUUUAGGAACCAGCCGCCUAAGGUGGGACAGAUGAUUAGGGUG